AUCUACGGCGAUGCCAGCCUGAUCCCAUCUGAUCUUGGAAGCUACAGGGUCAGACCUGGUUAGUACUUGGAUGGGAGACCACCUAGGAAGACCAGCUGCUAUAGAUG
rnacentral:rRNA from 1 species